rnacentral:tRNA from 1 species
GUAGACAUAGUUUAUUAAAAACACCAGACUGUGAAUCUUGAAAUAAGAGACCUAAUCUCUUUGUCUACC